rnacentral:rRNA from 1 species
UACGUAGGUGGCAAGCGUUGUCCGGAUUUAUUGGGUUUAAAGGGUGCGUAGGCGGUUAUAUAAGUCAGUGCUGAAAUAUCCCGGCUUAACCGGGAGGGUGGCAUUGAUACUGUAUGACUUGAGUAAAGUUGAGGUUGGCGGAAUUGACGGUGUAGCGGUGAAAUGCUUAGAUAUCGUCAAGAACACCGAUAGUGAGGACAGCUAACUAAGCUUUAACUGACGCUGAGGCACGAAAGUGUGGGGAUCAAACAGG